UACAGAGGUCUCAAGCGUUGUUCGGAUUCAUUGGGCGUAAAGGGUGUGUAGGUGGCGCCGUAAGUCGGGUGUGAAAUUUCGGAGCUUAACUCCGAAACUGCAUUCGAUACUGCGGUGCUUGAGGACGGGAGAGGAGACUGGAAUUCAUGGUGUAGCAGUGAAAUGCGUAGAGAUCAUGAGGAAGACCAGUGGCGAAGGCGGGUCUCUGGACAGUUCCUGACACUGAGACACGAAGGCCAGGGGAGCAAACGGG
rnacentral:rRNA from 1 species